UACGUAGGGUGCGAGCGUUGUCCGGAAUUAUUGGGCGUAAAGAGCUCGUAGGCGGUUUGUCGCGUCGACUGUGAAAACCUACAGCUUAACUGUGGGCUUGCAGUCGAUACGGGCAGACUUGAGUUCGGUAGGGGAGACUGGAAUUCCUGGUGUAGCGGUGAAAUGCGCAGAUAUCAGGAGGAACACCGGUGGCGAAGGCGGAUCUCUGGGCCGAUACUGACGCUGAGGAGCGAAAGCGUGGGGAGCGAACAGG
rnacentral:rRNA from 1 species